GACGAACGCUGGCGGCGUGCCUAAUACAUGCAAGUAGAACGCUGAAGGAGGAGCUUGCUUCUCCGGAUGAGUUGCGAACGGGUGAGUAACGCGUAGGUAACCUGCCUGGUAGCGGGGGAUAACUAUUGGAAACGAUAGCUAAUACCGCAUAAGAGUAGAUGUCGCAUGACAUUUGCUUAAAAGGUGCAACUGCACCACUACCAGAUGGACCUGCGUUGUAUUAGAUAGUUGGUGAGGUAACGGCUCACCAAGGAAACGAUAUAUAGCCGACCAGAGAGGGGGAUCGGCCACACUGGAAAUUAGACACGGCCCAUAGUCCGACGGGAGGCAGCAGUAGGGCAUCUUCGACAAUGGACGGAAGUCUGACCGAGCAACGCCGCGUGAGUGAAGAAGGUUUUCGGAUCGUAAAGCUCUGUUGUAAGAGAAUAACGAGCGUGAGAGUGGAAAGUUCACACUGUGACGGUAUCUUACCAGAAAGGGACGGCUAACUACGUG
rnacentral:rRNA from 1 species